GAAACUCCUUGACUUUGGCGUGGCUACAUAUAUUUUCUUGACUGUAUUUAGACUCUCUAGAGUCGGUUUUGCUAGAAUCUAAACUCCCUCAAUAUAUUUUCUGAAAGUUAGGAUUAUCCUGAAAACUAACAGAACAAGUCUAUCUUGAUGGGUUUUUUGUUCUUUUUCAGGUCAACCUCCAACCAUUUGCCUAGUUACUAGAAUGCUGAUUGUUGGGUCAGAUGGG